rnacentral:rRNA from 1 species
GUAGGUGGCAAGCGUUGUCCGGAAUUAUUGGGCGUAAAGCGCGCGCAGGCGGUUCUUUAAGUCUGAUGUGAAAGCCCACGGCUCGACCGUGGAGGGUCAUUGGAAACUGGAGAACUUGAGUACAGAAGAGGAAAGCGGAAUUCCACGUGUAGCGGUGAAAUGCGUAGAGAUGUGGAGGAACACCAGUGGCGAAGGCGGCUUUCUGGUCUGUAACUGACGCUGAGGCGCGAAAGCGUGGGGAGCAAACAGGAUUAGAUACCCUGGUAGUCCACGCCGUAAACGAUGAGUGCUAAGUGUUAGGGGGGUUUCCGCCCCCCUUAGUGCUGCAGCUAACGCAUUAAGCACUCCGCCUGGGAGUACGACCGCAAGGUUG